UACGAAAGGUGCAAGCGUUACUCGGAAUCACUGGGCGUAAAGCGCACGUAGGCGGACUCGCAGGUCAAUUGUGAAAUACCCGGGCUCAACCUGGGAACUGCAGUUGAAACCGCUUGUCUUGAAUACCUGAGAGGGUGGGGGAAUACCUGGUGGAGAAGUGAAAUUCGUAGAUAUCAGGAGGAACACCGGUGGCGAAGGCGGCCCUCUGGACGAGUACUGACACUGAGGCGCGACAGCGUGGGGAUCAAACAGG
rnacentral:rRNA from 1 species